rnacentral:tRNA from 1 species
CGCGGGGUGGAGCAGCUCGGUAGCUCGUCGGGCUCAUAACCCGAAGGUCAUCGGUUCAAAUCCGGUCCCCGCUA